UACAAGUUGGCUAUUGGUCAACUUUACCGAUAAGACUUAGGACUACCGAUUACCGACUCAUUGUAGAAUCAGCAUAAUGUAGAUUAAC